rnacentral:rRNA from 1 species
UACGUAGGGUGCAAGCGUUAAUCGGAAUUACUGGGCGUAAAGCGUGCGCAGGCGGUUAUGUAAGACAGAUGUGAAAUGCCCGGGCUUAACCUGGGAACUGCAUUUGUGACUGCAUGGCUAGAGUGUGUCAGAGGGAGGUGGAAUUCCGCGUGUAGCAGUGAAAUGCGUAGAGAUGCGGAGGAACACCGAUGGCGAAGGCAGCCUCCUGGGAUAACACUGACGCUGCAUGCACGAAAGCGUGGGAGCAAACAGG